CCUUCUACUACUCCCUCCCCUACAGCCACGCUAUUCCACUCCACCCCACCCCACCCCCCGAAACAAGUCUAACACACCUCGCACCCCCCUCUAAGCUUCUCUCUUCCUCCAUCCACCAAGCAAAGAUGUCCACGCAGGCGGCCAUGACCACGACGGAGCGCUGGCAGAAGAUUCAGGGACAAGCUCCCGAUGUCAUCUUCGAUCUCGCAAAACGCGCCGCCGCUGCCAAGGGCCCCAAGGCCAACCUCGUCAUUGGUGCCUACCGCGACGAGCAGGGCCGUCCCUACCCGCUACGCGUGGUCCGCAAGGCUGAACGGCUUCUUUUGGACAUGAAUCUCGACUACGAGUACCUACCCAUCUCGGGCUACCAGCCCUUCAUCGAUGAGGCGGUAAAGAUGAUCUACGGCGAUACCGUCGCGCUGGAGAACCUGGUUGCGGUGCAGACGCUGAGCGGGACCGGUGCUGUCUCUCUCGGCGCAAAGCUGCUGACUCGCGUCUUCGACGCUGAGAAGACGCCCAUCUACCUUUCCGACCCCACGUGGCCCAACCACUACGGCAUCGUGAAGGCUGCUGGCUGGAAGAACAUCUGCACCUACGCCUACUACGACCCCAAGACGGUCAGCCUGGAUUUCGAGGGCAUGAAGAAAGACAUUCUAGCGGCGCCGGACGGCUCCGUGUUCAUUCUGCACCAGUGCGCGCACAACCCCACCGGCGUGGACCCGUCGCAGGAGCAGUGGGACGAGAUCGCGUCACUGAUGCUGGCCAAGCGCCAUCAGGUGUUCUUCGACUCCGCCUACCAGGGCUACGCGAGCGGCAGCCUCGACACGGACGCGUAUGCUGCCCGCCUGUUUGCCCGCCGCGGCAUCGAGGUACUGCUGGCGCAGUCCUUCUCCAAGAACAUGGGCUUGUACAGCGAGCGUGCAGGCACGCUGUCGCUGCUCCUCAAGGACAAGACGAAGCGCGCGGAUGUGAAGAGCGUGAUGGAUUCGCUGAUCCGUGAGGAGUACACGUGCCCCCCGGCCCACGGUGCCCGCUUAGCCCACCUCAUCCUGAGCAACAACGAGCUGCGAAAGGAGUGGGAGGCAGAGCUAUCGGCCAUGGCGGAGCGCAUCCGUACGAUGCGCCGCACCGUGUACGACGAGCUGCUGCGCCUGCAGACGCCCGGGAGCUGGGAGCACGUCAUCAACCAGAUUGGCAUGUUCUCCUUCCUCGGGCUGUCGAAGGCGCAGUGCGAAUACUGCCAAAAUCACAACAUCUUCAUCACGUUGUCGGGUCGCGCUAACAUGGCAGGUCUGACGCAUGAGACGGCGCUGAUGCUGGCACAGACGAUCAACGAUGCUGUGCGCAAUGUGGAUCGCGAGUGAUGGGGUUACGGACGGCGCUCGCGCUCGGCAUCGUGUGCCGAACACGGAAGCGAAACGCCUCGUAGCAUACUAAUGGUAAAAGAAGGUUUUAGAAGGCAAUGGACGCAUGGAAAGAUAGAACUAGAAGGCGCGAGGAUAGGUGGACGCCGCAUGUACCAAAGAGCCACCGCAGCGUCAGCAGUCUUGCCUAUCAUGCCCCGAAGCUUCUGUCUCUCUCUCUCUCUCUCUUGCAUGUAUGUAUAUAUGUUUCGUAAUACCUCUUCUCAUACGUUUUUUGCGUUGCUUCUUUUCGCUUUCUCAUCUUCCUUUCUGUUUGUGUGUAGGUAUGUCUGUUCGGUUUUGUUGUUGCCUUCCAGACGCUGCGGCUGAUGCGUGUGGCGCUGUUUCGUUGAGGCGGGAGGGAAUUGUAUGUAAGCAAUCAAUGAGGACGCAGUGUAGAGGAAAGGUUCGGCGCCGCCCUCCAUCCACCCAUCCCCUAUCUCACACCGCAGCGUGUACAGUAGGCACUCGCGCAUAAAGCGCGCUUUCCUUCUCUGACCAUGUCUCUCUCUCUCUCCUCCUCCUCCUCCUCCUCCUCCUCCUCUCCCCUCUCUGGCCUAAUUGUACUUGUCGACGUUUUUUUGAUGCAUUCUGCGGUGAUGUUGACAGUUGUAUACGUUCAUGUGUGUAGGUCUCUCCAGAUAGGGAUGAGCGGCUUGUGCUUGUUCUGUUUGUUCACGUGCGUGUAAGCCCUUAUAUCCCCCCCCUCACUCUCUCUCCAUUUUUCCCUCCUUCCCUCUCUCUGCCUCUCCCUCCCCACAUUGUUUUCUCUGUUCGCUUGAAAAUAAAAGAAGUUAAAGAAGCGCUAAGAAUCUUUCCAUGUCCUCUUCUCUUCCCGUUUCGGUUGUCGUCGUUGUUGCCUCUCUCUCUUUAAGCUCGUUUCAUGUGUGGUAGUCCGCCGCUACUGCCCCACCUCAUCCACACCCACUGCUACCAUCCUCAGUCGCUGUAUAUCUAACAAUACGAAAAGUGUGUAAAGAGAAAAAAACGCGGGAGAGUAGCACAGAGGGAACGUGUGUGCCCGUGCCAGCGUCUGCAUCAUCUGCGUGUAGAGGAGGCGCAUGGUUCUCCUUCUGUAGCAGAAUGUUACUGACGAUGAAGGGAGAACGCUCAGUAAGCACAGGCGGCACACACACACACACACACAGGAGAGCACAGAGAUGAAGUGAUUAUUUUUGUAGUAGCAGUGGCGUUGUGCGUGCUCCUGAGCGCCGUCAUCUCGACUCUUUUUUUUCUCCGAUGGGUACUGUUGUUUUCCGUUCGUUUUUUCGUCUCGGUUUUGCUCAAUUCGCGAGUGCAUCUAUCUUCGUCUCAUCGCAGUUCGGAAGGGGGAGGGCGUUGUCGGCAGCGAGGACAAAACAGUGCGGGCCAAAAGUGUAGAUGCGCCCCUCGGCGAGACGGGCCGACGCUCUUCAUGACGCCACGUAAAGAGAGGGUGUGACAUGGCUGAGUGAGCAUCGGGUGAAAGCGCGAAGGAUUGGGGGAAGGGGGUGAAAGAGAGCGUGCGCAGGAAGAACGCAGUGGCGGGGAGAAGAGAUGAGGCGCAACCGUAGAUGAAUUUCGCAACGGCGGUCAGUUGUUCACGUUCCUCCCUCCUUCCCUCAACUCCCUGUGUGUCACACACUUCUUCACAUAACCCUCUCAGAUGUUCUCCUCUCCAUGGCCAACGCGUUUUCUUUCCUUCUUUUUUUUUUGUGGCUUGGCCAUCUCCAGUAAAUUCCUGUAUUUUUGUGCGUCACCAAUUCCCGGACGAUGCCGACCACCUCAGUGCGUGAUAGCAGGACCUAGUUACACACUCUGUUGGGAAGCCAAGAGCCUGCACAGCCUGCCCACGGGUAACAGCUGCAGGCUCUUGGUGCCGGCAGGACAGGCCUGGGCGGGCGCCGCGCGGAAGAGGCUUGUGAUCAUGGCCACGUUUGGACCAGCUCACUACGGAUCGUGUCGGCGACUCAGAAAAUUUAUGUCUCCACUCCCUGUUUUUUUUUGCUUGUGCUGCGCUGCGAAGAUGUUGAGCGCAAUCGUGGGCACAGCCCGCGCUGUAUGCAGUAAAACUGCAGUUGGCCGUACGACGCCAAACGGUGUUGGGCGGCCCGGCUCCUUGGCACAGCCGUAGCGCACCAGAGGUAGGUGAGCUGUGAUUGCAUGCGUAUAUCUUUUCACUUGCUCAUGAUAG
rnacentral:misc_RNA from 1 species